UACAGAGGGGGCAAGCGUUGUUCGGAAUUACUGGGCGUAAAGGGCGCGUAGGCGGUCUUCUAAGUCUUGUGUGAAAUCCCUCGGCUCAACUGAGGAACUGCACGGGAUACUGGAUGACUUGAGUUCGGGAGAGGGAAGCGGAAUUCCGGGUGUAGCGGUGAAAUGCGUAGAUAUCCGGAGGAACACCGGUGGCGAAGGCGGCUUCCUGGACCGAUCACUGACGCUGAGGCGCGAAAGCUAGGGGAGCGAAUGGG
rnacentral:rRNA from 1 species